ensembl:lncRNA
GUUUUCUUACCUAUAAAUUGAAGACAGUAAAUCAUCUAUCUUUCAAAUUUGGUAUAUGGACUAAAAGAGCAACACAUAUACAGUGCUCCAUGCUAGAAAUUGGAACAUCUUACUUCACGAGAGUUGUGUCACACCGUGGGAAAACUAGAAGACAGGUAAUUAAAGUUAUGAGGGAUUAAUUUUUGCAUUGCAUGUGUGAAUUAUUUUUAUAGUGUAAUGAACUCCUACAAUUUUAGCUAAUUUUUAAUGACAAACAUUUGUAUUGACAGGUGGCUUAAAUCUUUUCAUGAAUAAUCAACC